rnacentral:rRNA from 1 species
CGAACGCUGGCGGCAGGCCUAAUACAUGCAAGUCGAACGGCUCUUCGGAGCAGUGGCGGACGGGUGAGUAACGCGUGGGAAUGUGCCCUUAGGUACGGAACAACACAGGGAAACUUGUGCUAAUACCGUAUGUGCCCUUCGGGGGAAAGAUUUAUUGCCUUUGGAGCAGCCCGCGUAGGAUUAGCUAGUUGGUGAGGUAAAGGCUCACCAAGGCUACGAUCCAUAGCUGGUCUGAGAGGAUGAUCAGCCACACUGGGACUGAGACACGGCCCAGACUCCUACGGGAGGCAGCAGUAGGGAAUCUUGCGCAAUGGGCGAAAGCCUGACGCAGCCAUGCCGCGUGAAUGAUGAAGGUCUUAGGAUUGUAAAAUUCUUUCACCGGGGAAGAUAAUGACGGUACCCGGAGAAGAAGCCCCGGCUAACUUCGUGCCAGCAGCCGCCGUAACAC